GGAAGACCACAGCUCAGUGGUAGAGCAUCUGCUUUGCAGGCAGAAGGUUCCUGGUUCAAUCUUGGGCAUCUCCA